UCUCUAUCUGCUCUCGCCCAGACCCCACUUGUGGAACUACACCGGGAAUGUUGUUUUAUAUAUGUGUGUAUAUUGGUGUUGUACUUUUAUAAAGCUACACUAUAUUGAGUGCUUGAUUAUGGCGUUUCUUCAACAUCUAUUUUGAAGUUUGUCGAACCUAAAAGAUAGACAACAAACACUUUGGGUUAGCUAUGGAUCAUAUACAGUCGAGGGAAAGUGAUUUCGAGGUAGAUUUAGAGAGUGGGGGAACAACUAGUGAUGAAGAUGGCAGUUAUAACUAUGAUCUGACUGGUGAAAUUUCUAAUAGAGAGUCGUAUAAAGCGGGUAGUGAGUUUCGUGGAGUUCAAUCGUGCAAUGGAUCUGUAAGGAACCAAGACGGUUCAAGUACAUAUAACAAAAGUUUAAGUGCUGAUGAGCUAUCAUCUGUUAGGCGUACAGAAAUUUUGUCAAACAAAGUGAAGGAAGAGAUAGAAAAGUUGGGUGACAAAAAAAUGAAUAUCGACAAAUCAAGGAAGCCAAAGCCUGCUAAACCACCUAGACCCCCAAAGGGUCCAGCACUGGACGCCUCUGAUGCAAAGUUCGUCAAGGAAAUAUCUGAGCUUGCUAUAUGGAAGCGUAGAAGGACAGAAAGAAUGAAGGCACUGAAGAAAAUUAAAAAGGAGAGCGGUUCAUCUUCGAGGAUGAAUAUAUUAGCAACGGUGAUCACAAUUCUG
rnacentral:misc_RNA from 1 species